UAGAGUUUGAUUAUGGCUCAGAACGAACGCUGGCGGCAGGCCUAAUACAUGCAAGUCGAACGCACCUUUCGGGGUGAGUGGCAGACGGGUGAGUAACGCGUGGGAACCUUCCCUGUGGUACGGAAUAACUCCGGGAAACCGGUGCUAAUACCGUAUACGCCCUUCGGGGGAAAGAUUUAUCGCCAUAGGAUGGGCCCGCGUCGGAUUAGCUAGUUGGUGAGGUAAUGGCUCACCAAGGCUUCGAUCCGUAGCUGGUCUGAGAGGAUGAUCAGCCACACUGGGACUGAGACACGGCCCAGACUCCUACGGGAGGCAGCAGUAGGGAAUAUUGGACAAUGGGCGAAAGCCUGAUCCAGCCAUGCCGCGUGAGUGAAGAAGGCCUUAGGGUUGUAAAGCUCUUUUGGCGGGGAAGAUAAUGACGGUACCCGCAGAAUAAGCUCCGGCUAACUUCGUGCCAGCAGCCGCGGUAAU
rnacentral:rRNA from 1 species